rnacentral:rRNA from 1 species
GAUGAACGCUAGCGGCAGGCCUAAUACAUGCAUGUCGAACGGGAUUAAGAGGCUUGCUUCUUAUGAGAGUGGCGCACGGGUGCGUAACACGUAUGCAACCUACCUUUAACUGGGGGAUAGCCUUCCGAAAGGGAGAUUAAUACCGCAUAACAUAAUUGAACGGCAUCGUUUGAUCAUCAAACUUCCAAGGGUUAAAGAUGGGCAUGCGUCCGAUUAGUUAGUUGGUGAGGUAACGGCUCACCAAGGCAUCGAUCGGUAGGGGAGAUGAGAGGAUGACCCCCCACACUGGUACUGAGACGCGGACCAGACUCCUACGGGAGGCAGCAGUAAGGAAUAUUGGUCAAUGGACGCAAGUCUGAACCAGCCAUGCCGCGUGCAGGAAGACGGUCCUCUGGAUUGUAAACUGCUUUUGUUAGGGAAGAAACCCUCUGAUGCGUCAGAGGCUGACGGUACCUAAAGAAUAAGGAUCGGCUAACUCCGUGCCAGCCGCCGCCGUAAGAC